UACGAAGGGGGCUAGCGUUGUUCGGAAUCACUGGGCGUAAAGCGCACGUAGGUGGAUUUAUUAGUCAGGGGUGAAAUCCCGGGGCUCAACCUCGGAAUUGCCUUUGAUACUGUCUAUCUUGAGUCCGGGAGAGGUGAGUGGAAUUCCUAGUGUAGAGGUGAAAUUCGUAGAUAUUAGGAAGAACACCAGUGGCGAAGGCGGCUCACUGGCCCGGUACUGACGCUCAUGUGCGAAAGCGUGGGGAGCAAACAGG
rnacentral:rRNA from 1 species